CCUACGGGAGGCAGCAGUAGGGAAUCUUCCACAAUGGGCGAAAGCCUGAUGGAGCAACGCCGCGUGGGUGAAGAAGGUCUUCGGAUUGUAAAACCCUUUUGUUAGAGAAGAAAGUGCGUGAGAGUAACUGUUCACGUUUCGACGGUAUCUAACCAGAAAGCCACGGCUAACUACGUGCCAGCAGCCGCGGUCAUACGUAGGUGGCAAGCGUUAUCCGGAUUUAUUGGGCGUAAAGGGUACGCAGGCGGGCUUUUACGUCUGAUGUGAAAGCCUUCGGCUUAACCGGAGUAGUGCAUUGGAAACUGGGAGACUUGAGUGCAGAAGAGGAGAGUGGAACUCCAUGUGUAGCGGUGAAAUGCGUAGAUAUAUGGAAGAACACCAGUGGCGAAGGCGAUUUGCUGGACUGUAACUGACACUGAGGCACGAAAGCGUGGGGAGCAAACAGGAUUAGAUACCCGUGUAGUC
rnacentral:rRNA from 1 species